UACGGGGGGGGUAAGCGUUGUUCGGAAUUACUGGGCGUAAAGGGCUCGUAGGCGGCCAACUAAGUCGGACGUGAAAUCCCUCAGCUUAACUGGGGAACUGCGUCCGAUACUGGAUGGCUUGGAUUUGGGAGAGGGAUGCGGAAUUCCAGGUGUAGCGGUGAAAUGCGUAGAUAUCUGGAGGAACACCAGUGGCGAAAGCGGCUUCCUGGUCCAGCACCGACGUUCAGGCACGAAAGCGUGGGGAGCAAACAGG
rnacentral:rRNA from 1 species